rnacentral:rRNA from 1 species
UACAGAGGUCCCGAGCGUUGUUCGGAUUAAUUGGGCGUAAAGGGUGCGUAGGUGGCGCCGUAAGUGGGGUGUGAAAUCCCGGGGCUUAACCCCGGGACUGCAUUCCAUACUGCGGUGCUUGAGGACUGGAGAGGAGACUGGAAUUUACGGUGUAGCAGUGAAAUGCGUAGAGAUCGUAAGGAAGACCAGUGGCGAAGGCGGGUCUCUGGACAGUUCCUGACACUGAGGCACGAAGGCCAGGGGAGCAAACGGG